rnacentral:rRNA from 1 species
UACGUAGGGUGCGAGCGUUAAUCGGAAUUACUGGGCGUAAAGCGUGCGCAGGCGGUUCGCCAAGUCAGGUGUGAAAUCCCCGGGCUUAACCUGGGAAUUGCGCUUGAAACUAGCGGGCUUGAGUGCGGCAGAGGGGGUGGAAUUCCACGGUGUAGCAGUGAAAUGCGUAGAGAUGUGGAGGAACACCGAUGGCGAAGGCAGCCCCCUGGGUCGACACUGACGCUCGAUGCACGAAAGCGUGGGGAGCAAACAGG